GAAUGCUGACAUAAGUAACGAUAAAGCGGGUGAAAAGCCCGCUCGCCGGAAGACCAAGGGUUCCUGUCCAACGUUAAUCGGGGCAGGGUGAGUCGACCCCUAAGGCGAGGCCGAAAGGCGUAGUCGAUGGGAAACGGGUUAAUAUUCCCGUACUUGGUGUUACUGCGAAGGGGGGACGGAGAAGGCUAUGUUGGCCGGGCGACGGUUGUCCCGGUUUAAGCGUGUAGGUGUGUGUUCCAGGUAAAUCCGGUUCACUUUAACACUGAGGCGUGAUGACGAGGCACUACGGUGCUGAAGCAACAAAUGCCCUGCUUCCAGGAAAAGCCUCUAAGCAUCAGGUAACAUCAAAUCGUACCCCAAACCGACACAGGUGGUCAGGUAGAGAAUACCAAGGCGCUUGAGAGAACUCGGGUGAAGGAACUAGGCAAAAUGGUGCCGUAACUUCGGGAGAAGGCACGCUGACACGUAGGUGAAGUGAUUUACUCACGGAGCUGAAGUCAGUCGAAGAUACCAGCUGGCUGCAACUGUUUAUUAAAAACACAGCACUGUGCAAACACGAAAGUGGACGUAUACGGUGUGACGCCUGCCCGGUGCCGGAAGGUUAAUUGAUGGGGUCAGCGCAAGCGAAGCUCCUGAUCGAAGCCCCGGUAAACGGCGGCCGUAACUAUAACGGUCCUAAGGUAGCGAAAUUCCUUGUCGGGUAAGUUCCGACCUGCACGAAUGGCGUAAUGAUGGCCAGGCUGUCUCCACCCGAGACUCAGUGAAAUUGAACUCGCUGUGAAGAUGCAGUGUACCCGCGGCAAGACGGAAAGACCCCGUGAACCUUUACUAUAGCUUGACACUGAACAUUGAGCCUUGAUGUGUAGGAUAGGUGGGAGGCUUUGAAGUGUGGACGCCAGUCUGCAUGGAGCCGACCUUGAAAUACCACCCUUUAAUGUUUGAUGUUCUAACGUGGACCCGUGAUCCGGGUUGCGGACAGUGUCUGGUGGGUAGUUUGACUGGGGCGGUCUCCUCCUAAAGAGUAACGGAGGAGCACGAAGGUUGGCUAAUCCUGGUCGGACAUCAGGAGGUUAGUGCAAUGGCAUAAGCCAGCUUGACUGCGAGCGUGACGGCGCGAGCAGGUGCGAAAGCAGGUCAUAGUGAUCCGGUGGUUCUGAAUGGAAGGGCCAUCGCUCAACGGAUAAAAGGUACUCCGGGGAUAACAGGCUGAUACCGCCCAAGAGUUCAUAUCGACGGCGGUGUUUGGCACCUCGAUGUCGGCUCAUCACAUCCUGGGGCUGAAGUAGGUCCCAAGGGUAUGGCUGUUCGCCAUUUAAAGUGGUACGCGAGCUGGGUUUAGAACGUCGUGAGACAGUUCGGUCCCUAUCUGCCGUGGGCGCUGGAGAACUGAGGGGGGCUGCUCCUAGUACGAGAGGACCGGAGUGGACGCAUCACUGGUGUUCGGGUUGUCAUGCCAAUGGCACUGCCCGGUAGCUAAAUGCGGAAGAGAUAAGUGCUGAAAGCAUCUAAGCAC
rnacentral:rRNA from 1 species